rnacentral:piRNA from 1 species
UCCCAGUGGUUACGGAAUCCAGUCUUUGCA